CGCCGCGGUUAUACGAGCGGCCCAAAUUAAUAAAAUUAACGGCGUAAAGAGUGUAUAAGAUAAAUCUUGUCCGACUAAAGUUAAAAUGAUGCUUAGCUGUUAUACGCACCUGCACCCAUGAAAACCUAUUACAAAAGAAACUUUACAAAAACAUAGACCUCUCAAAACACGAUAGCUAAAAAA
rnacentral:rRNA from 1 species